rnacentral:lncRNA from 1 species
GGGAAUUGACCUUCUCUUACCUAGAAGAGCAUUUGGGCAGCAAAAGGGUUACCGAAAGAUGGCUUAUGUUGGUGAGUCAAUAAAGGUAACCAAAUUUAUAUUUUGAAUGAUCAAUGGAUUCCAGGCGUUGACAUUGAUAGGAGCAAUGAUAGCACCAACAAUAUAGAAAUUGAGUUAGUUUCGGACUUAAUUGAUGCAUCAACAAGAAAGUAGAAAGCUGAUCUAAUUGAUAAUACCUUUCCAGAGAACACGGCACAGAAGAUUCUGCAAAUUCCUUUGGCGAAAGAACAUAAUGAUUUUCAAGUCUGGUGAGGAGAACAUUCUAGCGAAUUUUCAGUCAGAAGUGCCUAUAAACUAUUACAAGAGGCAAAUAUGGGUCCUAGUGCUUAUUUAAUACAGACCGAAACAAAAAAUUUAUAUAGAAAACUAUGGAAUUUACAUCUCCCAUCAAAAAUUGCCAUCACUAUUUGGCGUCUAUCAUGGAACUUUAUUCCUACUUUAAAAAAUUUAAUACUAAAAAGUGUGGCUUCAGAUAUCUCCUGCCCUCGGUGUCGAAAUGCAGAAGAAGAUAGCAACCAUGUGUUUAGACAAUGCCUUACAGCAACAGAAACAUGGCAGAAUCUUUACCUCUCAUGGGUCUUAAAUUAUACUAUUCAAGAUCUGUGGGAAUGGCUUACCUGGGUUUUCACCAUGGGUAACAGUAAACAAUGUCGCCUCUUUUGCUGUGCUGCAUGAAUGAUUUGGAGUUCCAGAAACCAGUUUGUUCAUGAGGGGAAAAUAACAAGAAGAAGAGAUUUAUCAAAUAGAGCCUAGAGUUAUAUAGCAGAAAUCGAUGGAUAGGAAGAAAAACCACUUACCUUAGGUGAUAAUAGAAGACAGAGAUAGAUUGCAAGAAAUGCGAGAGUAACCAUUUAUUUUGAUGCGACAUUCGACAGUAAAUACUCAAGAUCGGCUUCAGGUCUGGUGGUGUGGGGGGAAAUGGGUGAGUUUCUUGCCUCAAAAACAAUACUCCACUCCGCAAUAUCAUUUCCGUUCAUGACGGAGGCAUAUGCAGGAUUACAAGCAAUGAAGUUAGGGAUCUCACUGGGCUUUCAAUCAAUUGAUAUAAUAGGGGACUCAAAAACAGUCAUAAAAAAUACAACUUAACAGCAACAGACAAGUCAGUUUUAGGGGCAAUCAUUUGAGAUAUUCAAAAGAAGAAACAUCUCUUCCAAGAAAUCAACUUUCAGUUUGUUAAAAGAUUAGAGAAUGGUCAUGCCCAUGAACUUGCAACAGAAGCUUUAAGAAAGGGAGAGGAAAAAUACCUGGAGGAAGCAACCUUUACUUGUCUUCAGUGCAGACGAGAUGAGAGAUGGCUGAGAAAUCUAGACUGAAGAAAAUCUAGAGGAAAUAUGAAGAGAUAAGGAUAGCAGAAAUGAAAGCUUCCUUGAAAAUAGCUAUCAUUUGAAAUGAUAGUAUGGCAACUCGGAAAGUCUGACAUUAAGUGGGUACCAACUGUUUUGACAUCAACUGGAUUUGACGUUUGGUUUUGACGUUUCCAUUUUUUUUUCUGUUUGUUAUUUGUUUUAUUGUGGGCCUCUUGUCUCCUUUUGGGCCACUUUUCUUUUAUUUGUUUUUACUUAUGGCCCAAUCCAUAGUUUUAAAUAUUUUUUAUUCAUUAUGUUAUUCGUUUUAAGAUAAACAAAAUCCAGUUGAAAUAUUCAAAAAAAAAUACAUGUAAGAUAAAUUGGAAAUAACUUUUUAAUUACAAUUUUAAAUUAAAAUAAUAAUUCUAAAAAUUAUCAAUUAAAAUAUUAUUAAGUAUUUAAUCCAAAGAUUUAUUGCCAAUAUUUUUUUUUGUAUUCUUCAUGUCCGUUUUACGAUCCAUGUUCAGGGUACAUGGGUUGUCCCUCCUAACAAUAUUAUCUCCAAGGUUCGAACCUAUGUCUCC